rnacentral:rRNA from 1 species
UUCCGGUUGAUCCUGCCGGACCUGACUGCUAUCGGAUUGAUACUAAGCCAUGCGAGUCAUUGUAGCAAUACAAGGCAGACGGCUCAGUAACGCGUAGUCAACCUAACCUAUGGACGGGAGUAACCUCGGGAAACUGAGAAUAAUGCCCGAUAGAACACUAUAUCUGGAAUGGUUUGUGUUCCAAAUGAUUUAUCGCCGUAGGAUGGGACUGCGGCCUAUCAGUUUGUUGGUGAGGUAAUGGCCCACCAAGACUAUUACAGGUACGGGCUCUGAGAGGAGUAGCCCGGAGAUGGGUACUGAGACACGGACCCAGGCCCUAUGGGGCGCAGCAGGCGAGAAAACUUUGCAAUGUGCGAAAGCACGACAAGGUUAAUCCGAGUGGUUUCUGCUAAAGGAACCUUUUGUUAGUCCUAGAAACACUAACGAAUAAGGGGUGGGCAAGUUCUGGUGUCAGCCGCCGCGGUAAAACCAGCACCUCAAGUGGUCAGGAUGAUUAUUGGGCCUAAAGCAUCCGUAGCCGGCUCUGUAAGUUUUCGGUUAAAUCUGUACGCUCAACGUACAGGCUGCCGGGAAUACUGCAGAGCUAGGGAGUGGGAGAGGUAGACGGUACUCGGGAGGAAGUGGUAAAAUGCUUUGAUCUCUCG